GAUAAACGCUGGCGGCGUGCAUGAGACAUGCAAGUCGAACGAAGGAUCGGGCUUGCUCGAUCCUUAGUGGCGGACGGCUGAGUAACGCGUAGGUGACCUACCCCGAAGUGGGGAAUAACUGCCCGAAAGGGUGGCUAAUACCGCAUGUGGUCGCACGUUCAUUCGUGCGAGUAAAGCCGCAAGGCGCUUCGGGAGGGGCCUGCGUCCGAUUAGCUCGUUGGCGGGGUAAUGGCUUACCAAGGCGACGAUCGGUAGGUGGUCUGAGAGGACGAUCACCCAGACUGGGACUGAGACACGGCCCAGACUCCUACGGGAGGCAGCAGUCGGGAAUUUUGCUCAAUGGGGGAAACCCUGAAGCAGCAACGCCGCGUGAGGGAUGAAGGCCUUCGGGUUGUAAACCUCUUUUGUCAGGGACGAUGAUGACGGUACCUGGCGAAUAAGCCACGGCUAACUACGUG
rnacentral:rRNA from 1 species